UACGAAGGGGGCGAGCGUUGUUCGGAAUUACUGGGCGUAAAGGGCGCGUAGGCGGCCGAUCAAGUCAGAUGUGAAAGUCCUGGGCUUAACCUGGGGACUGCAUUUGAUACUGAUUGGCUUGAAUGCAGGAGAGGAUAGCGGAAUUCCCAGUGUAGAGGUGAAAUUCGUAGAUAUUGGGAAGAACACCGGUGGCGAAGGCGGCUAUCUGGACUGUGAUUGACGCUGAGGCGCGAAAGCGUGGGGAG
rnacentral:rRNA from 1 species